rnacentral:rRNA from 1 species
ACAGAGGGUGCAAGCGUUGCUCGGAAUCAUUGGGCGUAAAGGGUAGGUAGGUGGUCUUAUUUGUCUGGGGUGAAAGCCUUGAGCUUAACUCAAGAAGUGCCUCGGAAACGGUAAGACUUUGAGUCUCGGAGAGGGUCGUGGAAUUCCCGGUGUAGCGGUGAAAUGCGUAGAGAUCGGGAGGAACACCAGCGGCGAAGGCGGCGACCUGGACGAGCACUGACACUCAACUACGAAAGCGUGGGGAGCAAACAGGA